UCGCCCCGGACCUCUCUUGAUUGAUCAGGUUCUGUGAGUGAGUGGCUGACAGUCCACCUGUUUUUCCCCCCGGGGAGGGUGGGGGGAGACGGCUGGCUUUCCUGUUCUUUGAAUCGCUUGCCCAAUUGGGAAGGUAGGAGCGAGAUGUACCAUCUGCAGCAUAAGACGGCAGAGAUUGGAAGCUACCACUGACGGCUUUGCUCUCCCGCUCUGGAGAGCGAGAAGCGAGGUGUACCGUGCAGACGGGGAGAAUUUCUUUUCUCGGGCCACUGGUUUCUAUGCCUCUUCAACCUGCCUCCUUUUCCCGAUUGCUUUGGAAACCUGGACAUACUUUUUGCAAAGUCUCUUGGACACCUUUCCGGUUUUUUCCCCUCCCCCUCCCUUGAGCUGGAUGAUUAGUAAAUGGACCAUCUGAAAAACUCGCUGAUUAUUGUGCUCCGAGUCAACUUAAAAGAUCCCCGGGGGAACUAGAGGGAUUUUCGUUUUCAUUGGAGAAGUUUUCAGGGGCGACUAUUGGACAGAAAUUGUCUGCUACAAAUGAUCAUGCUGACUUAAAGAUAUGAAAACCAAAGAAGAUGUCAUUUGACUGGGUAUACUGAGCAUUGUGUAAG